rnacentral:rRNA from 1 species
AGGAUUAACGCUGGCGGCGUGCCUAACACAUGCAAGUCGAACGAGGUAGCAAUACCUAGUGGCAGACGGGUGAGUAACGCGUGGUCAACCUUCCCUUUAGUGGGGGAUAACUAGCCGAAAGGUUAGCUAAUACCGCAUACGAUCUACGAGUGGCAUCACUUAUAGAUGAAAGAAGCAAUUCGCUUAAGGACGGGACCGCGUCCCAUUAGUUAGUUGGUGGGGUAAUGGCCUACCAAGACUCCGAUGGGUAGCUGGUUUGAGAGAGCGACCAGCCACACUGGGACUGAGAAACGGCCCAGACUCCUACGGGAGGCAGCAGUGAGGAAUUUUCCGCAAUGGGCGAAAGCCUGACGGAGCGACGCCGCGUGUGGGAAGAAGGCCUUCGGGUCGUAAACCACUGUCGAAGGGGAAGAUAUUGACGGUACCCUUGGAGGAAGCCCCGGACUAACUACGUGCCGAGCGAGCCGC